UGGGGAAUAUUGUACAAUGGGCGAAAGCCUGAUCCAGCCAUGCCGCGUGUGUGAAGAAGGUCUUCGGAUUGUAAAGCACUUUAAGUUGGGAGGAAGGGCAUUAACCUAAUACGUUAGUGUUUUGACGUUACCGACAGAAUAAGCACCGGCUAACUCUGUGCCAGCAGCCGCGGUAAUACAGAGGGUGCAAGCGUUAAUCGGAAUUACUGGGCGUAAAGCGCGCGUAGGUGGUUUGUUAAGUUGGAUGUGAAAUCCCCGGGCUCAACCUGGGAACUGCAUUCAAAACUGACUGACUAGAGUAUGGUAGAGGGUGGUGGAAUUUCCUGUGUAGCGGUGAAAUGCGUAGAUAUAGGAAGGAACACCAGUGGCGAAGGCGACCACCUGGACUAAUACUGACACUGAGGUGCGAAAGCGUGGGGAGCAAACA
rnacentral:rRNA from 1 species